rnacentral:rRNA from 1 species
GACGAACGCUGGCGGCGUGCUUAACACAUGCAAGUCGAGGGGCAGCAUAGGGUAGCAAUACUCUGAUGGCGACCGGCAAACGGGUGAGUAACGCGUAUGCAACCUACCCUGUACAGGGGGAUAACCCGGAGAAAUUCGGACUAAUAUCCCGUAAUAAUAUCCGGAGGCAUCUUUGGAUAUUUAAAGUUUCGACGGUACGGGAUGGGCAUGCGUAACAUUAGCUGGUUGGUAAGGUAACGGCUUACCAAGGCUAUGAUGUUAGGGGUCCUGAGAGGGUGGUCCCCCAACUGGUACUGAGACACGGACCAGACUCCUACGGGAGCAGCAGUGAGAAUAUUGGUCAAUGGGCCAAGCCUGAACCAGCCAGUCCCGCGUGCAGGAAGACGGCCCUAUGGGUUGUAAACUGCUUUUCCAGGGAGAGAAACUUACGCACGUGUUGCGUGACUGACGGUACCCUGGGAAUAAGCAUCGGCUAACUCCGUGCCAGCAGCCGCGGUAAAACGUAGCGU